GUACACGCUGUGACUAGCAUAUCAAUAAGCGGAGGAAAAGAAACUAACAAGGAUUCCCCUAGUAACGGCGAGUGAAGCGGGAAGAGCUCAAAUUUGAAAUCUUAAAGGGUUUCCCUUUACGAAUUGUAGUUUAAAGAAGUGUUUUCUGUUGAGGUUUUGGUAAAAGUUCUUUGGAAUAGGACAUCAUAGAGGGUGAGAAUCCCAUAUUUGACCUUUACUUUCAACUUUGUGAUACACUUUCAAAGAGUCGGAUUGUUUGGGAAUGCAGUCCAAAAUGGGUGGUAAAUUUCAUCUAAAGCUAAAUAUUGGCGAGAGACCGAUAGCGAACAAGUACCGUGAGGGAAAGAUGAAAAGAACUUUGAAAAGAGAGUUAAACAGUACGUGAAAUUGUCAAAAGGGAAGCGUUUGACACCAGUGUUGUUUUUCUGAAAAUCAAUUAAAGAACUGUUUAUGCUAAGCUGUUUAGACUUUAUCAGCUAUCUGUUUAGUUUUGAGCUUUUCUUUAAUGCACUUUUCAGUUAACAAGUCAACAUCAAUUUCUUUUGCUGUAAAAAAGCUUGAGGAAGGUGGCUUGAGAUUCGUCUUAAGUGUUUAUAGCCUCUUGCCUAUGCAGUCGGAGAGAUUGAGGUCUGCAGCGUAGAUCCUUCGGGGCUAAAUGCAUUUGUGCUAAGUUAUAGCAUUUUAUAGACAACUUGUUGACUAUGAUUUGUCUUGUAGCUUACUCGCUUAUGUUAUUUUACCUACGCUUAGGAUGUUGAAUCUGUGCGAGACUAC
rnacentral:rRNA from 1 species